rnacentral:rRNA from 1 species
AUUGAACGCUGGCGGCAUGCCUUACACAUGCAAGUCGAACGGCAGCACGGGUGCUUGCACCUGGUGGCGAGUGGCGAACGGGUGAGUAAUACAUCGGAACGUACCUUAUCGUGGGGGAUAACGCAGCGAAAGCUGUGCUAAUACCGCAUACGCCCUGAGGGGGAAAGCGGGGGAUCGAGAGACCUCGCGCGAUUAGAGCGGCCGAUGCCUGAUUAGCUUGUUGGUGGGGUAAAAGCCCACCAAGGCGACGAUCAGUAGCUGGUCUGAGAGGACGAUCAGCCACACUGGGACUGAGACACGGCCCAGACUCCUACGGGAGGCAGCAGUGGGGAAUUUUGGACAAUGGGGGCAACCCUGAUCCAGCAAUGCCGCGUGAGUGAAGAAGGCCUUCGGGUUGUAGAGCUCUUCUGUCAGGGAAGAAACACCGGCUCUAACACAGUCCGGGAAUGACGGUACCUGAAGAAUAAGCACCGGCUAACUACGUGCCAGCAGCCGCAGUAA